GACAGAGGGUGCAAACGUUGUUCGGAAUUACUGGGCGUAAAGCGCGUGUAGGCGGUCGUGCAAGUCGGGUGUGAAAGCCCGGAGCUCAACUCCGGAAGUGCAUUCGAUACUGCAUGGCUAGAGUCCCGGAGAGGGUGGUGGAACUCUCGGCGUAGAGGUGAAAUUCGUAGAUAUCGAGAAGAACACCGGUGGCGAAGGCGGCCACCUGGACGGUGACUGACGCUGAGACGCGAAAGCGUGGGGAGCAAACAGG
rnacentral:rRNA from 1 species